AGAAGAAGAAGAAUACGAAGAUGCUGAUAAAGAAUUGAAGCCACAAUCGAUCUCUAGCACCGCCAAAUCGACUGGUACCUCAUCUGCAAUCGAUGAUGUUGACGCCAAACUCAAAGCUCUUAAACUCAAGUAUGGCUCCUCUUCCCCUUCUCAGACACCUAAUUCUAAGAACGCUGUAAAACUUUACCUUCAUAUCGGUGGAAACACCCCCCGUGCGAAGUGGAUCGUCUCUGAGAAACUCACUUCCUACGCUUUUCUCAAGACGGCGGACGUCGA
rnacentral:misc_RNA from 1 species